UACGAAGGGGGCUAGCGUUGCUCGGAAUCACUGGGCGUAAAGCGCACGUAGGCGGAUUUUUAAGUCAGGGGUGAAAUCCUGGAGCUCAACUCCAGAACUGCCUUUGAUACUGGGAAUCUCGAGUCCGGGAGAGGUGAGUGGAACUGCGGGUGUAGAGGUGAAAUUCGUAGAUAUUCGCAAGAACACCAGUGGCGAAGGCGGCUCACUGGCCCGGUACUGACGCUGAGGUGCGAAAGCGUGGGGAGCAAACAGG
rnacentral:rRNA from 1 species